GACGAACGCUGGCGGCGUGCUUAACACAUGCAAGUCGAACGGAAAGGCCCUGCUUUUGUGGGGUGCUCGAGUGGCGAACGGGUGAGUAACACGUGAGUAACCUGCCCUUGACUUUGGUAUAACUUCAGGAAACUGGGGCUAAUACCGGAUCGGAGCUCCUGCUGCAUGGUGGGGGUUGGAAAGUUUCGGCGGUUGGGGAUGGACUCGCGGCUUAUCAGCUUGUUGGUGGGGUAGUGGCUUACCAAGGCUUUGACGGGUAGCCGGCCUGAGAGGGUGACCGGCCACAUUGGGACAGAGAUACGGCCCAGACUCAUACGGGGGGCAGCAGUGGGGAAUAUUGCACAAUGGGCGGAAGCCGGAUGCAACAACGCCGCGUGGGGGAUGACGGCCUUCGGGUUGUAAAACGCUUUCGCCUGUGACGAAGCGUGAGUGACGGUAAUGGGUAAAGAAGCACCGGCUAACUACGU
rnacentral:rRNA from 1 species